rnacentral:rRNA from 1 species
UACACUCCUACGGGAGGCAGCAGUGGGGAAUAUUGCCCAAUGGGCGCAAGCCUGAUGCAGCCAUGCCGCGUGUAUGAAGAAGGCCUUCGGGUUGUAAAGUACUUUCAGCGGGGAGGAAGGCAAUACGGUUAAUAACCGUGUUGAUCGACGUUACCCGCAGAAGAAGCACCGGCUAACUCCGUGCCAGCAGCCGCGGUAAUACGGAGGGUGCAAGCGUUAAUCGGAAUUACUGGGCGUAAAGCGCACGCAGGCGGUCUGUCAAGUCGGAUGUGAAAUCCCCGGGCUCAACCUGGGAACUGCAUUCGAAACUGGCAGGCUUGAGUCUUGUAGAGGGGGGUAGAAUUCCAGGUGUAGCGGUGAAAUGCGUAGAGAUCUGGAGGAAUACCGGUGGCGAAGGCAGCCCCCUGGACAAAGACUGACGCUCAGGUGCGAAAGCGUGGGGAGCAAACAGGAUUAGAAACCCCGGUAGUCCCAUGAU